AUGGAGGCGAGGGGUGUGAGCAGCCGCGAAGCCAAACAGCGCAGCUCUGACGGUGGCUGCGGUGGUCCUGGGCUGGGGCCUCCAGGCCCUGGCAGUCAAGCGUCUAGAGACAUCCCAUCCCCCACGCUGCAAGCCCAGGGACUGCACCGCAGGUACCAGGAGAGGCCUGGUUCUGGUCCGCAAGCCUUUCUGCAAAACAGGCCCCCCCGACUUCGGCCACCCCCUCCCCAGUCAGCCCCUCUCCCAGUGCUUCAGCCCGCCACAGAGCAGCCUGCUUCUCGUCAGAGGGCCCCACCGCCCCCCACGCCCUGCCCCUGCCGGCUCUCCUUUCAGAGCACGUGGCAUGACCUGGUCCAACAACGCCCAAGUCACGAGGCCUCCAGCAGGAGCCAGUGAGGGUUGGGGGGCGGUGAGGAAGGUGCCCCGGGGUCCACCAGGGUACAGAGCCUGGGCCUUCUGCUGCUGUCCUCUGCCUGGCAGCUGCCAGCCCCUCUGUGGACAGUGACGGGCUGCAGCCUCAUCUAGGAGCUGGGCUCUCACUCAUCAGCACGAGCCCAGACGGACAGCCACAGGACGGUUGCUGUAAGCCCCCUGUGGGUGACUUCUGUCAAAGAUACCUGCACUUGAGGUGGCCCCAGAGGUCUGUUCCGUGGAGCAUGGAGCCCCCGCUGUGUGAAACACUCUAAAAUUAAGGGCCCAGCAUUCAGGGCUGAUUCUCCCACUGCAGGGAGCUGGGCCACCCCUUCCCUAGAGCAGGCAUCCUGGCCCAGCCUGGUCACGGAAGAGAAGAACGUUCUCUAUGGCCAGGGAGGCUGGGGCAGGCCCAGGCCCCCCCCAGAUCCAGAGCUCAGGGGCAAAACUCUUCUAGACUCUGCAAGGGGGCACAAUCCCCCUGGGGAGUGGGCUCGGAUCGGUCUCAGGGAGGCUGAGCUGGGGGCCGGGCCCAGGUCCAGGGGGCCUUGCAGCCUUGUGCGGGGAGCAUAGGGUCUGAGGCCAGGCAGCGGCUGCACACCCCGGGCCGCCCUCAGGCCUGCUGCAGGGCCCUGGGCUCCGGGCCUCGGGCUCGGCCUGUCAGGUGGGCACAGCAGCGUCUCUGCAGGGCUGCGAGGAAAAGCUUUCUCAGACCCGGGCCUGGAACAUGAAGCCGGCGUCAUCGUUACCUCUGUAGGGUGAGGGUCUGUGGGCCUCCGUGAGCCUCUCCUUGUGUGGGGCUGUCCUGGAUCCCGGGCCUUCCUGAUUCUGUGGGCGGGCAGGGCAGAGAUGGCAGGGGCUGGCCUGAGGGCUUAACUCCGGAUUGCGGGCCCGGGAGGGGAGGCCACCUCCUUUCCUGGCUCCAGACCUCCGAGUGGGCCCUGCAUCAAGGGCCCGGGAGGUGGGGAGGAGCCGGGGGGCGGGGCAGGGUCAGAGACCAUGACUCAGAACCCCCCACGGCAGCGGCGGGGCAUUCCACCAGGACAGCUGCUCUGAUCCAGGCUCUGGGGUGACAGGUACUGCUCCCCGAGUUCUCACUGCCAGACCAGGAGCUGGAGGUCCCUAAACUACAGGGCCUCACGGUCAACAUGACCCCAGGGGGAGGCGGCGGGAUGAGAAGCAGAAGCAGCGAGAAGCCCUCUGGAAGCACCUUUGGGGAAAUGUGGCAGAAAUGCCUCCAUGCCAGGUCAGGGGAGCCCACCGGAGCCGAGCUGGGGGUCUCAGCCCUCUGCCUCAGCCCCAGACUCGGGUCCCCACCCACCAGCCCUGCUGUGUGUGGCCACACUGCCAGAGAAAGGAACCCAGACCUUGCCCUCUGGAAGUCCCAGCCACCCUCCAUCACGGGGUCACCCCACACAAUCAUCCCAUCAUUACGGACUCAACCCUCCACUAUGCUCAUGUUUCCACAAAAGCAUCCAGGAAUCAGGACACUGCACUUUCUGGGGCCCUCGCACACAC
rnacentral:lncRNA from 1 species